CCAAUAGCGUAUAUUAAAGUUGUUGCAGUUAAAAAGCUCGUAGUUGAAUUUCGGGGUUAGUAAGUUGGUUGUGCCACUGGUAUGUACUGACUUUACUGAUUCCUCCUUCUUGUAGAACCGUAAUGCCAUUAAGUUGGUGUUGCGGGGAAACAGGACUGUUACUUUGAAAAAAUUAGAGUGUUUAAAGCAAGCUAACGCUUGAAUACAUUAGCAUGGAAUAAUGAAAUAGGACGUUCGAUCCUAUUUUGUUGGUUUCUAGGAUUGACGUAAUGAUUAAUAGGGAUAGUUGGGGGCAUUAGUAUUCAAUUGUCAGAGGUGAAAUUCUUGGAUUUAUUGAAGACUAACUACUGCGAAAGCAUUUGCCAAGGAUGUUUUCAUUAAUCAAGAACGAAAGUUAGGGGAUCGAAGACGAUCAGAUACCGUCGUAGUCUUAACCAUAAACUAUGCCGACUAGGGAUCGGAUGAUGUUAAUUUUAUAAUGACUCAUUCGGCGCCUUACG
rnacentral:misc_RNA from 1 species